GAAGCAGACCGGGUAGUCGCGAGGACAGUGUCCGUAAGGAGGUUCUCGAGGAAAGUCCGAGCUCCACAGGGCAGGGUGCUGGGUAACACCCAGUGGGGGCGACCCUAAGGAAAGUGCCACAGAAAAAAACCGCCCAUUGAGAGGUGAGAGGUGGGAGGUUAGAGGUGAGAUGCAUGCAAGUGUCCCACUUCCAACUUCUCACAUCUCACUUCCCAAUUGGUAAGGGUGCAACGGUGCGGUAAGAGCGCACCAGCGGUUAGGUGACUAACCGGCUAGGUAAACCCCACCCGGAGCAAGACCAAAUAGGAGAGGAUGAAGCGGCCCGCUGAUCUCUCGGGUAUGGUCGCUGGAGGUGUUAGGUAACUAACAUCCUAGAUAGAUGACUGCUCAAGACAGAACUCGGCUUACAGGUCUGCCUUCCUA
rnacentral:RNase_P_RNA from 1 species